AUUUUAUAAUAGCACUUUACUAAAUAAAAAUUUUUCUAAAAUUUAUGAUCUGAUUUGGAAAUAAAUUUAUGCGUAAGAGAUACUUCAGAAUUCAUAUACUUGUGAAUAAAAUGUCUACAACCUGAACCCCGAAAAAACAACAAAACCUUAUUAAAAUUCUUACCAUUAAAUUUAUGAAUAGGAUUUAGAUUGAAGAGUGUGCAUUGCACUGAGCGUGUGUAGUAGAGACUAGAGAGAGCUUCCAUCAUUCUUGUUUCCAUUACCAUCAACGAGGCAAUGGCUGACACUGCUGCAGAUUCCCUCUCCGACUUCCUCGCAUCUGCCGUCGACGCUGCUCGCAAAGCCGGCGAGAUUAUUCGGAAAGGAUUCUAUCAGACCAAACACGUCGAGCACAAAGGACAGGUUGAUUUGGUCACGGAAACUGAUAAAGCAUGUGAAGAUCUCAUAUUCAAUCAUCUUAAGAACCUUUACCCCACUCAUAAGUUCAUAGGGGAGGAAACCACAGCUGCAUGUGGCACUACCGAACUUACAGAUGAACCCACAUGGAUAGUUGAUCCUUUGGAUGGAACUACGAACUUUGUUCAUGGGUUUCCUUUUGUUUGUGUCUCCAUUGGUCUUACAAUUGGAAAAGUUCCUACUGUAGGUGUUGUUUACAAUCCGAUUAUUGAUGAGCUUUUCACUGGAGUCCAUGGGAAAGGUGCCUUUUUGAAUGGGAAGCCCAUAAAAGUAUCAACAAAAACUGAUCUAAUAAGCUCUCUUCUUGCAACUGAGGCUGGAACAAAACGUGACAAAGUAACAUUAGACGCCUCUACCAAAAGGAUUAAUAGCUUGCUUUCCAAGGUGAGAUCUCUUCGAAUGAGUGGCUCAUGUGCUCUGAAUCUUUGUGGAAUUGCAUGUGGAAGGCUGGAUGUAUUCUAUGAAACUGGCUUUGGUGGUCCUUGGGAUGUGGCAGGUGGUGCUGUCAUUGUUACAGAAGCUGGAGGUGUUGUAUUUGAUCCGUAAGUGACUUUGCUUAGAUAUCCUUAUUCUUAACGAAUGGAAAACCUACCAAGUUCUAGAUGGUCUAAGAACCGUUAGUUCUGGUGCAGAAUUUGAUGUAACAGCUCAGCGGGUAGCAGCUUCAAACCCUUCCUUGAAGGAUGCAUUUGUUGAAGCACUGCGCCAAACAGAGUGAGACAUUUACCAUUUAGUCAAAGGACGAGGAGAAAAUGCCAUCCAUCCGUAUAAAUAAAUCCUUGUUCCUUGUUUAGUUCAUCACUUUUUGCAAAAAUAAUUCUUAGUGGGGAUGACUCAAUUUUCUAAUUGCUUUUGUAGCUUUACCAAAAUUAUAAUAUACUAUUAUACUCUGCAUCUUUAGAAAUACAACUCCUCUGUCUCGUGUAUUCAACCAAUGAAAGUUUAGCACGUAAGACAAGUGCACCAUUGGUAUAAAAACAAAGACAAAUGUCAGGAAAAAUUGCUAUGCAUUGCCUUGAGAUA